UGGGGAANNNNUGNANNAUGGGCGCAAGCCUGAUCCAGCCAUGCCGCGUGUCUGAAGAAGGCCUUCGGGUUGUAAAGGACUUUUGUCAGGGAAGAAAAGGCUGUUGCUAAUAUCGACAGCUGAUGACGGUACCUGAAGAAUAAGCACCGGCUAACUACGUGCCAGCAGCCGCGGUAAUACGUAGGGUGCGAGCGUUAAUCGGAAUUACUGGGCGUAAAGCGAGCGCAGACGGUUACUUAAGCAGGAUGUGAAAUCCCCGGGCUCAACCUGGGAACUGCGUUCUGAACUGGGUGACUAGAGUGUGUCAGAGGGAGGUCGUGUAGCAGUGAAAUGCGUAGAGAUGUGGAGGAAUACCGAUGGCGAAGGCAGCCUCCUGGGAUAACACUGACGUUCAUGCUCGAAAGCGUGGGUAGCAAACAGGAUUAGAUACCCUGGNANUCCACGCCCUAAACGAUGUCAAUUAGCUGUUGGGCAACUUGAUUGCUUAGUAGCGUAGCUNACGCGUGAAAUUGACCGNCUGGGGGAGUACGGUCNCAAGAUU
rnacentral:rRNA from 1 species